rnacentral:rRNA from 1 species
CACUCCUGCGGGAGGCAGCAGUGGGGAAUAUUGGACAAUGGGCGCAAGCCUGAUCCAGCCAUGCCGCGUGAGUGAUGAAGGCCCUAGGGUUGUAAAGCUCUUUCACCGGUGAAGAUAAUAACGGUAACCGGAGAAGAAGCCCCGGCUAACUUCGUGCCAGCAGCCGCGGUAAUACGAAGGGGGCUAGCGUUGUUCGGAUUUACUGGGCGUAAAGCGCACGUAGGCGGACUAUUAAGUCAGGGGUGAAAUCCCGGGGCUCAACCCCGGAACUGCCUUUGAUACUGGUAGUCUUGAGUUCGAGAGAGGUGAGUGGAAUUCCGAGUGUAGAGGUGAAAUUCGUAGAUAUUCGGAGGAACACCAGUGGCGAAGGCGGCUCACUGGCUCGAUACUGACGCUGAGGUGCGAAAGCGUGGGGAGCAAACAGGAUUAGAAACCCGGGUAGUCCCAUGAU